rnacentral:rRNA from 1 species
AACUACCCAUCAGAGGGGGAUAACACUUGGAAACAGGUGCUAAUACCGCAUAACAGUUUAUGCCGCAUGGCAUAAGAGUGAAAGGCGCUUUCGGGUGUCGCUGAUGGAUGGACCCGCGGUGCAUUAGCUAGUUGGUGAUGUAACGGCUCACCAAGGCCACGAUGCAUAGCCGACCUGAGAGGGUGAUCGGCCACACUGGGACUGAGACACGGCCCAG